CAACAAUGUUUUCUCAGGGAAUACUGAGGAAGAAUAUCUCAAAAUGGAAAAAAACUCUGCACCAUUCUCCCGGCCUCCCACUUUCCAGCAGGCACAGGGCUCCCCAGUACAGCAAUAGCCCCGCGCAGUUCCCGGUUGUGGACAGAAGGAGAUUGAAGGAGACCGCGCGCUGCAACUCGCGCUUCUCGAGUCCUCACUCCCAGAACACCCCACCAAACCCUGCCGUGAAGCGAGGCCAUCCUGCGCGGCGGUGACCCCUGCAGCGCUCGCCGCCCGGGAGGGGGCGCCAUUGUCACGCGGCUGCGAGCGGCGGCGGCGGGCGGUCGCCGGGACCUUCCCCCGUCCUACCAGGG
rnacentral:lncRNA from 1 species